CAGUAGCCGCGGUAAUACGGAGGGUGCAAGCGUUAAUCGGAAUUACUGGGCGUAAAGCGUGCGUAGGUGGUCUGACAAGUCAGAUGUGAAAUCCCCGGGCUUAACCUGGGAACUGCAUUUGAAACUGUCAGGCUGGAGUCUUGUAGAGGGGGGUGGAAUUCCAGGUGUAGCGGUGAAAUGCGUAGAGAUCUGGAGGAAUACCGGUGGCGAAGGCGGCCCCCUGGACAAAGACUGACGCUCAGGUGCGAAAGCGUGGGGAGCAAACAGGAUUAGAUACCCCAGUAGUCCCUGUCUCUUAUAC
rnacentral:rRNA from 1 species